GUUUGUUUCUGACACUGAAUACACCCAAUCUCAUCUGAUCUGCAAAGCUAAGCAGGAUUGGGCCUGGUUAGUAUUUGGAUGGGAGACUACCUGGGAAUACCAGGUGCUGUAAGCU
rnacentral:rRNA from 1 species